GGAGGCAACCCACACCAAUGCACAAGGGCUCUUCCCCUGGCUUCACAAGCCACAGCAUUCUAUGAUCUUCAGCCCUGAGAGCUGCAAAAGCCUCUGCAGGCACCCACAUGAGCACAAAGCAAGAUUCCAAGGACGUUACGGCAGUUUCUCCAGACAUGCAUUUUUUUCUCAAAAGAAGUCAUAAUCUAGGAGAGGGAAGACCAGGAUUACCCAAUAAAAGAACAAGAAGAGAUGGAGUGCUUCUAACUGCUACACAAUGAUUUACUGAUGCAUAUAAGUUGCCGGAUGCAUUUUUACAAAAAGCAGAACUUCUUCAGGGCACUGGAGAUUAGUAACAUAUAUCAGAUAUGAAGAUUAAAAUGAAUACAAAAUGUGCAGCAAAUCAAAAAAUGUCUGACCUCAGAAAAGGGAUAUACAUUAUGUGAUAUUGCUUCAACAACUCAAAUGUAUAAGAAGAACCACCCGUUCACUCAAAUGUAUAAGAAGAACCACCAUAUAUCCUGUCACCACCACACUUCAGACAAAAAUUAUUGGCAAU